GGACAAUGGGGUGGUGACAAUGGGGGGUGGUGAAUGGGGGAUGGUGGCAAUGGGGUCAGUGAUAAUAGGGAUGGUGACAAUGGGGGUGGUGACAACAGGGACAGUGACAAUGGGAUGGUGACAAUGGGGUGGUGACAAUGGGGUGGUGACAACGGGGGGGUGACAACAGGGGGGUGGUGACAGUGGGAUGUGGUGACAGAGGUGACAAUGGGGAUGGCGACCACGGGUGACAAUGGGGAUGGUGACAAUGGGGUGGUGACAAUGGGGUUGGUGACAUGGGGAUGGUGACAAUGGGGUGGUGACAACGGGGGGGUGACAACGGGGGGGUGGUGACAGUGGGAUGUGGUGACAGAUGUGACAAUGGGGAGUGGUGACAAUGGGUGACAAUGGGGAUGGUGACAAUGGGAUGGCGACCAUGGGGUGGUAUCAAUGGGGACGGGGACAAUGGGGACAGCGACAAUGGGGGGGUGGCGACAAUGGGGGGUGGCGACAGUGGGGGGUGGUGACAGUGGGACGUGGUGACAGAGGUGACAAUGGGGAUGGUGACAAUGGGGUGGAGACAACGGGGGGGGUGACAACAGGGGGGUGGUGACAGUGGGAC
rnacentral:lncRNA from 1 species